rnacentral:tRNA from 1 species
CGGGGUAUGGCGCAGUCUGGCUAGCGCACCUGCUUUGGGAGCAGGGGGUCGGGGGUUCAAAUCCCUCUACCCCGACCA